AGGGUUCGAUCUGGCUCAGGAUUAACGCUGGCGGCGUGCCUAAUACAUGCAAGUCGAAUGGUAGUAGCAAUACAAACCAUGGCGAACGGGUGAGUAACACGUAGGCAACCUGACUUUAAGACGAGGAUAACCGUUGGAAACGACGGAUAAUACUGGAUAGGACAUCACAAAGGGCAUCCUUAGAUGUUUAAAGGUUAUUAUGCCACUUAGAGAGGGGCCUGCGGCGCAUUAGCUAGUUGGUGAGAUAACAGCCCACCAAGGCGAUGAUGCGUAGCCGGACUGAGAGGUUGAACGGCCACAAUGGAACUGAGAACGGUCCAUACUCCUACGGGAGGCAGCAGUAGGGAAUUUUCGGCAAUGGGCGCAAGCCUGACCGAGCAACGCCGCGUGAACGAAGAAGUUAUUCGUAAUGUAAAGUUCUUUUAUCUGGGAAGAAAAAACAAAUUGACGGUACCAGAUGAAUAAGCUCCGGCUAACUACGUGCCAGCCGCGGC
rnacentral:rRNA from 1 species